CACCUGCUUCCCUUCAGCUUGGUUGUGUCCCUGCCUCUCUCCUUGCUACCCUUCCUGGACCCUCAUCCUCUCCUAUAAUAAGCCUGGUUGGAUCCUCAGCAGCGUGUGUGAAGCCCUCCUUCGUCAUCUGGCUGACAUCUUCUGUCCCUGGAUCUCUUCGAGACUGAAGAAAUAAAGACUCUUCGUGGAACUCCACAGGAGGACCCAGUCUCCUUCUUCUGUGUCACGUGGAUUCACAAAAGAGCUAGAUCACUUGCUAAGAGCGCAGACAUGCCUGUGCUCCCGGGACGUCCUUCUAAGGACACUUCUCAGGGAAGGUCGCGACACUCCUAGCACUGCCUGUCACGGCAAAAUCUGUUUUCUACUUGGUUUAGAUGUAGUUUGUUUAAUGUGUUCAUUGUACCUGUUAAGUGUUGUAGGGAAGCAAUAGGGAAGUGAGGUUGAAGACAUAACCAAAAAAGAAUAAAAAAAAUGACAGAGAAGGGGACAGAAGAAUAGGCAGGUGGGAGAGAGUGUAAGAGUGUAAGUUCCUGAGUACCCAGACAACAGGAAAGAGGACAGGGACUGCUACAGUUGGGAGAGGGUAUACAAGUUGCCAUUUUGUUGGAGGGUGUCUGUGUUUACUUUUAGAGGGAAAAACAUGCACGCGACUCAGCUGACUCAGUACAAAUAAACAAUUAUCCUUUGUUUCGGAGACUUUGUCCCCACUUAACUGUAUCCAAAAGCGAGUUUGUUUCCAGCAAUUUGGGGACUCAUUCAGGAUCCUUGACCUCUGACCCUGCAGAGCAGGACAAUGGGAGUAGAAGGUAUACCCUGCUAAUUUCAGCAAUGCCAACCUGUUGUCAUACCCCAUGAGGGCUGCAGGUGAGACCUGGAGAGGGGAGUCUCAAAGCAAAAACAAAGGCAAAGGAAGGUAGGGAGAGGGAAGAGUUUAUGUGUGUCAGCUGGUAACACCUGUGCAGAGGACCCAGUUAAGAAAGUGACUGUUAAAUAUUACUUGAGUGGCUGGGAGGAGCAGGACUGGUGUGUAUGCUUGAGAUGCAGAAUUGCCUGUGGAGUCCUAACUAGGGUUCUGUUAUUCUGCAAGGGAUAAAGCCAGUGAAAGGACAAAGUGAAUCAUUCCUGAAAAAAUUAAUCAUGAGGGGAAUACUCUGAAAUGGGAAAUAGCUGCAGCGAGAAGGUUAGGAGGAGUGGAGAGGAACUCAGGGACUCUACUUUGAACAUAGCUCCAGAAAGUCCUUUGGGGACGAUGCUCAGAGACUGGGGACAAAAGUACCUGGCUUUUACCCAGGGGAAAGAUCAGGGAAAGAUGGUCCAAAAAUGUAUGUUUGAGUGAACCAAAGAACCCAUUAGACCAGAUCUCUUGCACUGUCAAGAUGUGGGUCUUUUUAAGAUUGGAUAUGUCAGAAUUUAAAUAUCUAUGUGAAAACAAAAGAACUUCACAAUAUAGAACAAAGGGAUUAUGCUGCUUGUUGGAAAAGAUAUUCAUCCCUAUUUGUAAACAAGAAAGGUUAGAGUUAGGGUUAUGUUGUCUUGUGUUUUUAUAUUUGUGUCUUUGUAUCCCUGUUCUCUCCUAAUAGCUUACCCCAAGCUGUUUCCCUCCUCCCCUGUGUCAAUCCUCCCUACUCUCCACCUACCACCCUGAGUUCUGCUGAGUUGUUCCCCAGUCUCCUCCCUGGAUCUCUAUCAGUCAACUCGGUCUCCAGUCCCCUCUGUCCAGAACCUUCCAUCAGGGGCGUUGAGUGACUGGACAAAGGCCAGGGCCCUCCCUCAAAGUGUUUCCCAAUUUGUGGCCCCUCAUGCCUAUCACCCUGGUUUCCACAACCCCAAGUUCCCCCUUGGCUGACGUGUGAAUCCCUCCCUUGUUUCCAGCCCCCUUUAAAAGCUACUCUUGAAGUACAGUCAAGGCCCUUCACAGCUGGUCACCCUGAGGUGCGGAGCUCCUCGGAGUUUUAGAAUAAACCUUGGAUUGCACCCCUGCCAAGAGUCGGCUCCCUUUUCCUCUGCCACUGCCUGCCAGCACUUCCUCUGCCACAGGGCUAACAACCCUGUGGGAGGGGACCCGAAGGAAAGUGGGGCAGGGAUGCCAUGGGAGGACACGCGUGUCUAGAUGCCAAUCAGCCAUGGCUCCCACCCCAGUUCUAGCAAGUUCCAUGUUCCUCCCUUCCCCAUUGGAUUGUACUGUGAGAUUACCCUCUUCCCCUACUCCCAUUGGUGUACCCCUCAUCACCUUAUCUCGGCUCCUCCUCUGACCUCUCUCCUCAUUGGUUCCCUGCUCCCUGGCCCUACCUGCCUGCUCCAUGUUAUAAAUCCUGGCCCCACCCCUGUUCUGGACUCCACCACCAGCCUUCCUUCAACUGCAGUUGUGUUCCUGCCUCUCUCCUUACCUCUACCCUUCCUGGACCCUUUACCCUCAAUAAACCUGGUUGGACCCUA